rnacentral:lncRNA from 1 species
GAACUAGAUAAUUCUGCAUGUUUUUCUUGGUCUUCCUAAUGUGUGUUUAUUCAAAUAGGGGGAAAAAAAGUAGACUAUCACCAGGGGAUAAAAAGUGAAAAUAGGAAAUUAUUUUGGUGUUGUUUUGCUACUUUGACCUUUAUUUGUUGUAGGAUAAAGGCUUAAGAUAAUUGUUUUUGUUUUAGAUGAGAGUUCUUUAUGAUAUGCUGAAGAGGAGUGUAAGGUAAAUAAUAAAGUAAUCAAGAAGUAGACAAGAGACACCCAGCUAGACUCUCCUUCCUUCUGGAGCCUGCCUCAGGGACAGCCAUGAAGCAUUUGGACAAUGGAGAGAAAGCAAGUGAAGCUGGAAGGAAUGGAUGAAGAAAACAUGACGGGAAAUGAAGAAAGGAGGAAUGCAAGCAAAAACAAGAACAGGAAUGAGGAAUAAAAAUAUGAGAAUAAGUGUGAGAAAACUAGACCAACGAGUGGAAGAACAAGAAGUCAUAUUUAAAAUUCAUUUUUAAAAGUGGAAUGAGUAUGGAAUAUUAUACAGUCAUCAAAAGGAAUGAAGUACUAACAGGUGCUACAACUCAGAUGAACUACUAAGUGAAAGAAGCAACACAAAGGACUAUAUAUUGUAUGAUUCCACGUACAUGAAAUAUCCAGAAUAGACAAACUCAGAGAAAGAAUGCAGACUAGUUGCUGCCAGGGGCUAGGGAGAGGGUGGAAUGGGGAGAAAGUGCUUGAUGGGUAAAAGGUUUUAUUUUGGAGUGAUGGAAAUGUUCUGGAACUAGACAGUGGUGCUGAUUGCACAGCAUUGUGAAUGUACUAAGUGCCACAGAAUUGCUCAUUUUAAAACGGUUAAUUUGGAAAUAAAAAGGAAAACGAAAAAGGUGGAAUAAGUAGC